CGAUGUGGGAAGGCCCAGACAGCCAGGAUGUUGGCUUAGAAGCAGCCAUCAUUUAAAGAAAGCGUAAUAGCUCACUGGUCGAGUCGGCCUGCGCGGAAGAUGUAACGGGGCUAAACCAUGCACCGAAGCUGCGGCAGCGAACGUAUCACCCAAGACAACUUUACGGAGUUGACGAUUGACGGAGCGAAGCGACGUCAAAGCGUUCAUUAAAGUCGAGUUGGCUUAGGGAUACGUUCGUUGGGUAGGGGAGCGUUCUGUAAGCCYGUGAAGGUGUGUCGUGAGGCAUGCUGGAGGUAUCAGAAGUGCGAAUGCUGACAUAAGUAACGAUAAAGCGGGUGAAAAGCCCGCUCGCCGGAAGACCAAGGGUUCCUGUCCAACGUUAAUCGGGGCAGGGUGAGUCGACCCCUAAGGCGAGGCCGAAAGGCGUAGUCGAU
rnacentral:rRNA from 1 species